rnacentral:rRNA from 1 species
UACGUAGGGUGCAAGCGUUGUCCGGAAUUAUUGGGCGUAAAGAGCUCGUAGGCGGUCUGUCGCGUCGGCUGUGAAAUCCCGGAGCUCAACUCCGGGUCUGCAGUCGAUACGGGCAAACUGGAGUACUGCAGGGGAGACUGGAAUUCCUGGUGUAGCGGUGAAAUGCGCAGAUAUCGGGAAGAACACCCGUGGCGAAGGCGGUUCUCUGGGACGGUACUGACGCUGAGACGCGAAAGCGUGGGGAGCGAACAGG